GGAUUAGAUACCCUGGUAGUCCACGCCGUAAACGAUGGAUACUAGCUGUUUGGAUUUCGGUCUGAGUGGCUAAGCGAAAGUGAUAAGUAUCCCACCUGGGGAGUACGUUCGCAAGAAUGAAACUCAAAGGAAUUGACGGGGGCCCGCACAAGCGGUGGAGCAUGUGGUUUAAUUCGAUGAUACGCGAGGAACCUUACCAGGGCUUAAAUGUGGUUGGACAGGUGGAUAAUUCCACCCUCCUUCGGGCUAAUCACAAGGUGCUGCAUGGUUGUCGUCAGCUCGUGCCG
rnacentral:rRNA from 1 species